rnacentral:rRNA from 1 species
GUUGGUGUUGAUUGCGGUGAGGGUCCACCCGUUCCCAUCCCGAACACGGAAGUUAAGCUCACCUGCG